GGCUCUGGCCAUACUCUAGGACUCAGUCGAUCCUGGGUAUGACCAAAGCCCGACUAU
rnacentral:miRNA from 1 species